rnacentral:misc_RNA from 1 species
GCAAGCAGCCAAUCGGCGACGACCAUGCGCCCGUCGUGUGGUUCGGCCUGUGUCGCGCCCACGUCGUGGACGUGCAGGGCUCGCAGAGGCGCGUAUACGCCGAGAUCCUCGCAGCGGCAGAGACGGUGGUCGUGCAUUGAUGCCCAACGAGCCACAAGGUACGCCCCCAGCAGCAGCUCGGGCUCCCCGCAUCGUCAUGGUCGGCGGCAAGCUGACCGAGAUCGUGGACCAAGCUGAAGCCGCCUUGUUGACGAGCGGCAUUCCCAUCUACCAGCGCGGCGGGAUUCUCACGCGUCCAAUCCGACUCGACACGAGAGUCGGCGAGGCAGGCAACGUCCGACGUGAGGCCGGUUCGACGGUGCUCAUCGCGGUACGAGAGGCGUGGCUGCUCGAACAGAUGGGCCGCGCAAUCAAUUGGGUGCGGCCGACCAAGAAGGCCGGAAGCCCUGACAAGCUCCAACUCCGUCCGGCCGACCCAGAGCCCAUCUACGCACGCACGCUGCUGAGCCGAGGAGAGUGGCGGUUUCCAGUUCUCUUGGGCGUCGUCACAGCGCCGACCCUUGCGCGUGACGGACGAAUCAUCGAGACGCCUGGAUUCGACGUUCAGAGCGGGCUGCUCGUCGACAUUCGGUCGAACACGUUUCCGCCAGUGCCAGCCUCGCCGACGCGAGAGGACGCCGUGGCCGCACUCAAGCGACUUGCGCAGCCGCUGCGCGGCUUCCCGUUCGUGGACGACGCCGCCAGGUCCGUCGCCAUCUCCAUGCUGCUCACGGCACUCGUGCGCCCGAGCCUGCGGACGGCUCCGCUCCACGCUGCCGAUUCGCCCGCCGCAGGCACCGGCAAGUCGAUGCUCGCGGAGUCGCCUGGCUUGCUCGCAAGCGGGGUGCGGCCACCAGCGUUGAGUCAGGGUAAGAGGGCGGAAGAAGACGAAAAGCGACUGUCGACGGUGCUGUUCGCUGGCGACGCCGUGAUUCACCUCGACAACUGCGAGCGGCCCCUGUCCGGCGACUUUCUCUGCU